AGUGAACGCUGGCGGUAGGCCUAACACAUGCAAGUCGAACGGCAGCACAGUAAGAGCUUGCUCUUACGGGUGGCGAGUGGCGGACGGGUGAGGAAUACAUCGGAAUCUACUUUUUCGUGGGGGAUAACGUAGGGAAACUUACGCUAAUACCGCAUACGACCUACGGGUGAAAGCAGGGGAUCUUCGGACCUUGCGCGAUUGAAUGAGCCGAUGUCGGAUUAGCUAGUUGGCGGGGUAAAGGCCCACCAAGGCGACGAUCCGUAGCUGGUCUGAGAGGAUGAUCAGCCACACUGGAACUGAGACACGGUCCAGACUCCUACAGGAGGCAGCAGUGGGGAAUAUUGGACAAUGGGCGCAAGCCUGAUCCAGCCACACCGCGUGGGUGAAGAAGGCCUUCGGGUUGUAAAGCCCUUUUGUUGGGAAAGAAAAGCAGCAGGUUAAUACCCCGCUGUUCUGACGGUACCCAAAGAAUAAGCACCGGCUAACUUCGUG
rnacentral:rRNA from 1 species